rnacentral:miRNA from 1 species
UGUGUGUGUGUGUGUGUGCCCAUGUGUGUGUAUACACACACGCACACACACGUGUGUACACACACACACACACA